rnacentral:rRNA from 1 species
AUUGAACGCUGGCGGCAGGCUUAACACAUGCAAGUCGAGCGGUAGAGGGGAGCUUGCUUCCCUUGAGAGCGGCGGACGGGUGAGUAUGCCUAGGAAUCUGCCUGGUAGUGGGGACAACGUUCGGAAACGGACGCUAAUACCGCAUACGUCCUACGGGAGAAAGUGGGGGAUCUUCGGACUCACGCUAUCAGAUGAGCCUAGGUACGAUUAGCUAGUUGGUGAGGUAAAGGCUCACCAAGGCGACGAUCGUUAACUGGUCUGAGAGGGUGAUCAGUCACACUGGAACUGAGACACGGUCCAGACUCCUACGGGAGGGAGCAGUGGGGAAUAUUGGACAAUGGGCGAAAGCCUGAUCCAGCCAGGCCGCGUGUGUGAAGAAGGUCUUCGGAUUGUAAAGCACUUUAAGUUGGGAGGAAGGGCAGUAAGUUAAUACCUUGCUGUUUUGACGUUACCGACAGAAUAAGCACCGGCUAACUUCGUGCCAGCCGCCGCGGGUAAUAC